rnacentral:rRNA from 1 species
AGUAAUGUAUGGGGAUCUGCCCGAUAGAGGGGAAUAACUACUGGAAACGGUGGCUAAUACCGCAUAAUGUCUACGGACCAAAGCAGGGGCUCUUCGGACCUUGCACUAUCGGAUGAACCCAUAUGGGAUUAGCUAGUAGGUGGGGUAAAGGCUCACCUAGGCGACGAUCUCUAGCUGGUCUGAGAGGAUGAUCGGCCACACUGGGACUGAGACACGGCCCAG